rnacentral:rRNA from 1 species
UAAAAGACUACUUUCGCAUGAAAGAAGUUUAAAAAGGACGGCGUAAAGCUGUCGCUAAGGGAUGGACCUGCGAUGCAUUAGCUAGUUGGUAAGGUAACGGGACUUACCAAGGCGAUGAUGCAUAGCCCGAGUUGAGAGACUGAUCGGCCACAUUGGGACUGAGACACGGCCCAAACUCCUACGGGAGGCAGCAGUAGGGAAUCUUCCACAAUGGACGAAAGUCUGAUGGAGCAACGCCGCGUGAGUGAAGAAGGUUUUCGGAUCGUAAAGCUCUGUUGUUGGUGAAGAAGGAUAGAGGUAGUAACUGGCCUUUAUUUGACGGUAAUCAACCAGAAAGUCACGGCUAACUACGUGCCAGCAGCCGCGGUAAU